rnacentral:misc_RNA from 1 species
GUUGAAGACCAUUCCAAAAGGCAAUAAGAGAUGGACUUCAGAACCAGAGAGCAGCUUUCAACAAAACAGUAUUAAUAGCAUGCAAUGUGUUUUUGUAAAUUUUAAAAUAAUAUGUAUUCCCCAAACCACUGGUGAACUAUGAUAAUAAUAAGCAGUUGGCCACCACUCGCACAUUGACAGAUGGACUUCUUCAAUAUUUUACUUAGUAUAAUAAGCUGAAAUGCUUGAUUACUUUGGCUAACUCAGACUUUCACAUUACAAAACCAAUACUGC